GAGCGAGACUCCGUCUCAAAAAAAAAAAAAAAAAAAAAAAAGAAAAAAAAAUUGCUCCGAGAAGCAAGCCUUCUCUGAACCUUAGUCUAGACUAAGUUUCUUUACUCUGCAUUUUCAUAGAAAGUAUUUCUUUACUUCAUAGAAUUCACCUCAGUCUGCAGUUGGUUGAUGACUUGGUUAGUGUCUAUCUCCAUCCCAAAAUCGUUUCAUGAAAGAUGAACAGCAUCUGUUUUUGUCUAUCACUGAAUUCCUAGCCUAGCACAGUGCCAGUCACAAAAGGGGCACUCAAAAAAUUUUUAAACAAUGGAUCAAUCAGUCCACUAAGGCUCUUGCUCAGUUGCUUCAUUUGAAAAGCCUUGAUACCAUCAUCACCACUAUCAUCUUAUAUACCUUCUUUGGAAAAAUGUCUAUUCAAUUUCUUUGCCUAUUUUUUAAGUGGGUUGUUUUUAUCUUUUUGUUGUUGAGUAGUAAGCAUUCUUUUAUAUUCUGGAUACUAGGCUCUUAUCAGAUAUAUGAUUUGCAAGUAUUGUCUCCUAUUCUGUGCACUCUCUUUUCACUUUCUUGAUAGUGUCCUUUGAAGCACAAAAACGUUUAAUUUUGAUGAAGUUCCAUUUAUUCCUUUUUUCUUUUGUUGCUUGUGCUUUUUGUGUCAUACGUAAGAAACCAUUGCCAAAUACAAGAUCAUGAAAAUUUACCCCUAUGUUUUUGAUCCAUAAAGUUCUUUUGACUUUUAAAAUUCUAUAAGAUAAGUCAAUACUGGUCGCCUAUUACACACAAAGAACUAUUGGGAUUUCAGGGGAAACUGGAUAUUGGAGACUCAAGCAUCAGAAUGGAUAAGGCAUCAUUUUAGUGUUAGAAUCAGAUCCCAAGAUGGAAACUUCAGAAAUGCCAGGAUGUGCAGGAUGUGAUUGAGUUAUAUGUAGACAAAGAGAUUUGGGAUAGAAGUGUUUAAAUAUAGAGUCCAAGGUAACUUAACAGACCUCUAAUUAAAACAAUGAAAGCAAAAUUCCGAAAUACAUAAAGGCAAAUAAUAAGCUCUGAAGAAAACUGGAAAAAGUCUGACAAAUUCCAAGCCUUGCUUGAACUAAAGAACACAAUGCUAUUUGUGUAGAGGGAAAAUGUUAACAAAUGCUACAUAAAGUUGUGGCCUGAAUAUAGAAAAAGCCAUCCUAGAUAGUUCAGGAAAAGGAAAAAACUUAGUUUCUAAUUUAGCUCUAAGCAAGAUAAGAGAAAGACUUGCCUGAUACAUAGUAAAUGCUAAGUAAAGAGUUUGUUGGAUGUAAAAUAAAAUUCCUGAAAGAAUAAUGGAAUAUCCUGUGCAGAGUAAAUGCUCAAUCAUGUAUUUGUUGAAUAAAAAGUAAAACUUAUAGAAAAUAAGUGAAUUUGAUGUGACCGAUAUAAAUGCUCCUCCAUUGAGAAAUGACAUUUCAAAGUAAAUUGUUAAUCAAGAAUAAGUAAAUAACCACAUUUCAUAGAGUGGCAUCUCUGAAAAGAAACAAAAAGAAAAGAAGGAAGAAAGCAAGCAAGUAACUAACCUACUUGUGAGUCUAUAGGCAUGAUGUUAGGCCAAAAAAAAAAAAAACAACUGUCUUGUGAAAGAUAAAUUAUUCAGACCACAGGGAUAUAGCCAUUUACUACAGGAGGAGGAAAAAACAAAAUCAUAAUAAUAGUCUAGUGUUAUUCUUAUUUAAAUAUGUUAACUUAGAAUAAACAUACUAUUUCCUUCUCUCUUCCCUUCUCUCCUGUCCUCUCCUACGGGCUCCUCUCCACACCUUUUCUAUCUUCCUUUUGUGUUCUAAAGAAUCUUUUAGCAAUAACAGGACAAGGAUAAAGAUAUGGGAGUGAUAUUGUUUAUUACCUGUGAACAGUAGUUUAUACUACUGUUAAUAAUCGUGUAUAUAUACCAGGUUUCUGUUUUGUUGAAUUAAUUAAGGCAGAGAAGUCAAAUAAUAACCCCUUAAAACAUUCUGUAUCACGACCUUGGUGGUGGUUUCAGUACUCCACAGAUUUGUCAGAACUCAUCAAAUUUUACACUUAAGUAUAUAUUAUACCUCAAUAAAGCUG
rnacentral:lncRNA from 1 species